GCUACCAUGCAAGUCGAGGGGCAGCACAGGUAGCAAUACCGGGGUGGCGACCGGCGCACGGGCGUUUUAACGCGUUAUGCAACUUACCUAUCAGAGGGGGAUAACCCGGNGAAAGUCGGACUAAUACCGCAUGAAGCAGGGGCCCCGCAUGGGGAUAUUUGCUAAAGAUUCAUCGCUGAUAGAUAGGCAUGCGUUCCAUUAGGCAGUUGGCGGGGUAACGGCCCACCAAACCGACGAUGGAUAGGGGUUCUGAGAGGAAGGUCCCCCACAUUGGUACUGAGACACGGACCAAACUCCUACGGGAGGCAGCAGUGAGGAAUAUUGGUCAAUGGGCGUAAGCCUGAACCAGCCAAGUCGCGUGAGGGAUGAAGGUUCUAUGGAUCGUAAACCUCUUUUAUAAGGGAAUAAAGUGCGGGACGUGUCCCGUUUUGUAUGUACCUUAUGAAUAAGGAUCGGCUAACUCCGUGCCAGCAGCCGCGGUAAUACGGAGGAUCCGAGCGUUAUCCGGAUUUAUUGGGUUUAAAGGGUGCGUAGGCGGCCUUUUAAGUCAGCGGUGAAAGUCUGUGGCUCAACCAUAGAAUUGCCGUUGAAACUGGGGGGCUUGAGUAUGUUUGAGGCAGGCGGAAUGCGUGGUGUAGCGGUGAAAUGCUUAGAUAUCACGCAGAACCCCGAUUGCGAAGGCAGCCUGCCAAGCCAUGACUGACGCUGAUGCACGAAAGCGUGGGGAUCAAACAGGAUUAGAUACCCUGGUAGUCCACGCAGUAAACGAUGAUCACUAGCUGUUUGCGAUACAGUGUAAGCGGCACAGCGAAAGCGUUAAGUGAUCCACCUGGGGAGUACGCCCGCAACGGUGAAACUCAAAGGAAUUGACGGGGGCCCGCACAAGCGGAGGAACAUGUGGUUUAAUUCGAUGAUACGCGAGGAACCUUACCCGGGUUUGAACGCAUUCGGACCGANGUGGAAACACAUUUUCUAGCAAUAGCCGUUUGCGAGGUGCUGCAUGGUUGUCGUCAGCUCGUGCCGUGAGGUGUCGGCUUAAGUGCCAUAACGAGCGCAACCCUUGCCACUAGUUACUAACAGGUNAUGCUGAGGACUCUGGUGGGACUGCCAGCGUAAGCUGCGAGGAAGGCGGGGAUGACGUCAAAUCAGCACGGCCCUUACAUCCGGGGCGACACACGUGUUACAAUGGCGUGGACAAAGGGAAGCCACCUGGCGACAGGGAGCGAAUCCCCAAACCACGUCUCAGUUCGGAUCGGAGUCUGCAACCCGACUCCGUGAAGCUGGAUUCGCUAGUAAUCGCGCAUCAGCCAUGGCGCGGUGAAUACGUUCCCGGGCCUUGUACACACCGCCCGUCAAGCCAUGGGAGCCGGGGGUACCUGAAGUCCGUAACCGCGAGGAUCGGCCUAGGUAAU
rnacentral:rRNA from 1 species